AAUGGCCAACCUGAUGGAAAAAUUCACUAAACUCCCUGUGCAACUUUUUGUCUCAAACUCUUCAUCUGCUCUUCAUACUAGAAGGAAGAUGCUCAUUUGAGAGACUUGGAGGAAACUGAAGUCAAGGUCAGAUAGAAGUUGCCCAUUAUCUUAUGACUCGGAGAUAUCUUACAUUUAACUUCCUGCCUAUUGUAUAAUGUUGAGAUUAAGUAACACUUUCAUUUUCUAUAUGUAUUUCUUCCAAGUCAUUCAAGUACUUCAUACAUUUAACAGCUAAACAUUCCCUCUUCUGACUGGAUCAUAGUAUAACUGUUUGCUGGGAACUGAAUGUUUGUUUCCACCCAAAAUUCAUGUAUUGAAAUCCUAACCCCCAAUAUGAUGUUAUUAGGAAGUCGGGCCUCUGGGAGGUAAUUAAGUCAUGAGGAUGGAGUCCCCAUGAAUGGGAUUAACACCCUUAUAAAAAGAAAUCAGAGCACUUGCUUUCUCUCUCUUUGUAAUCUACUAUGUAAGGACACAGUGAGAAGAUGGUCAUCUGCAAAUCGGAAAGACAGCUCUCACCUGAUACCAGAUCUGCUGGCACCUUGAUCUUGGACUUCUCAGCCUCCAUAACUAUGAGAAAUAAAUUUCUGUUGUUUCAGCCA